CAGAGACCUCGAGCGUUAUCCGGAAUCAUUGGGCGUAAAGCGUACCGAUAGGUGGUUAAGAAAGUCAGAUGUGAAAUCUCCGAGCUCACCUCGGAAUCUGUCAUUUGAAACUUCUUGACUAGAGGAGCAAAGAGGAAGCUGGAACGAACGGUGUAGUAGUGAAAUGCGUUGAUAUCGUUCGGAACACCAAUAGCGUAGGCAGGCUUCUGGGUGCUACCUGACACUGCUAGGACGAAAGCGUGGGGAGCGAAGGGGAUUAGAUACCCCCGUAGUCCACGCUGUAAACGAUGUACAUUAGGCGCUAGGGAGUAUCGACCCUCUUUAGUGCCAAAGCUAACGCGUUAAAUGUACCGCCUGGGGAGUACGGCCGCAAGGCUA
rnacentral:rRNA from 1 species